GCGUCGUAAACAGUGUUUUUCUAUUGGUCAACUGUACUCCAGCGAUUAAAUAUUGCGGAAAAUAAAAAUAUACCAUUGACAGCAUCUGGGCCCAAGCCAAAUUGACGGAUGACAGGUCCCGCCUGGCCUGACUGCAAAGCAGACCAGAACAUUGAUAGCGCCUGGGAGAACUGGGAAGACACUAGCGUGGUACACAGAAAUCGCCGCAGGGAUGACUUUGGUCAGCUCAGUUGCUACGCCCCUCUGCCGGACAAUAAGCUGUGCUGUAGGUUGCCG